GGGAAGGAGUGCAGGACUUCGACUUGCCUCUCGCUGUCUCUCUGGCUGCUGGGUCGAGCUGUUUGCUCAGCCAGCCCUGGGAUGGUGCAAACCAGCCUGGCUGCCAAUUGACGUCAGAGGAGCGCUGGUGGUUUGCACGAGCUCAGGGACUGCCUCUGCUCAAGAGGGUGAGGAUUUGUGGCCCUGAAACUGUCCAAAAAUGAGGAGCAGAGCUCCAGCUGGAGUGAAUGGCAUUCCCAUACUUAAGAGAGGAGGGACUGCUUGCAUGGAGCCCACAGACUCGGUGCCUUUUGCAGGGCUGGAGGAGGAUGUGCCGGGAAAAGCCCCAUGUCUCUGGAAAAUGGAGAAGCAAGAGAAUGACUGAAACCUGGGUGGAGCAAGUGAGGAAAGUAUUUUAAAUAUUAAGUGGAGAUGCAACUCUUGUAAAUUCAGGAGUGAAGACUUGCCAGCUGAGAUCCUAGAAUUUCCUUUUGUGGAAUCUGGAAACAGUAACCUUA